rnacentral:rRNA from 1 species
GACAGAGGGGGCAAGCGUUGCUCGGAAUUACUGGGCGUAAAGGGCGCGUAGGCGGGCUGGCAAGUCGGUCGUGAAAUCCCUCGGCUCAACUGGGGAUCGUCGAUCGAUACUGCCGUUCUUGAGGAUUGCAGAGGAGACUGGAAUUCCCGGUGUAGCGGUGAAAUGUGUAGAGAUCGGGAGGAACACCGGUGGCGAAGGCGGGUCUCUGGGCAAUUCCUGACGCUGAGGCGCGAAAGCGUGGGGAGCAAACGGG